rnacentral:rRNA from 1 species
CCCCACUGCUAUCGGGAUGGGACUAAGACAUGCUAGUCGAGCGUCUCCAAGCUAUGGAAGAGACGCGGCACACAGCUCAGUAACACGUGGCUAACCUGCCCUUGGGACAAGGACAACCCCGGGAAACUGGGGCUAAUCCCUGAUAGGUGAGAACUCCUGGAAUGGAUUCUCGCUGAAAGGACGUUUAGACCAUGCUUCUAGGCGUCGCCCAAGGAGGGGGCCGCGACCGAUCAGGUUGUUGGUGAGGUAACGGCUCACCAAGCCUUUAACCGGUACGGGCCGUGAGAGCGGAAGCCCGGAGAUGGGCACUGAGACAAGGGCCCAGGCCCUACGGGGCGCAGCAGUCGCGAAAACUCCGCAAUACACGAAAGUGUGACGGGGCUAUCCCGAGUGCCAUCCGCUGAGGAUGGCUUUUCCCCAGUGUAUAAAGCUGGGGGAAUAAGGAGAGGGCAAGCCUGGUGUCAGCCGCCGCGGUAAUACCAGCUCUCCGAGUGGUGGGGAUGUUAUUGGGCCUAAAGCAUUCGUAGCCUGCUUGGCAAGUCCUCCGUUAAAUCCAACGAUUCAAUCGUUGGGCUGCGGGGGGGUACUGUCCGGCUAGGGGGCGGGAGAGGCCGACGGUAUCCCCGGGGUAGGGGUGAAAUUCUAUAAUCCCGGGAGGACCACCAGUGGCGAAGGCUGUCGGCUAGAACGUGCUCGACGGUGAGGGAUGAAAGCUGGGGGAGCGAACCGGAUUAGAUACCCGGGUUGUCCCAGCUGUAAACGAUGCAGGCUAGGUGUUGGCGCGGCUACGUGCCGCUCCAGUGCCGCAGGGAAGCCGUUAAGCCUGCCGCCUGGGAAGUACGGCCGCAAGGCUGAAACUUAAAGGAAUUGGCGGGGGAGCACCACAAGGUGUGAAGCUUGCGGUUUG